UUUUAAAUGCAGUCAUACAGAAACUCUAAAGACUUAUAGGCAUGUUUUCUAAAUGCAAUAAUGUAGAAAUUGUAAAGACUUAUAGGCAUAUUUUCUAAGUGCAAAAAAAGAACCUAUAGGAAUGUUAUCUAACCUUCGCAUGCAUUCAUUCCCCUCCCUUUCCACUAUCCAUCCCCAAUAGUUAAUACAAAUUAUUACAGACCCGAAUGAAUCAGAAAAGAAAAGUAAGAUACAUUAGAAGUUCCAGCUACAUUCAAAUAGCCCAAUUCAGACUCAAAGUCCAACAAUAUGAGAUAAACAACCUUCCAGGAUUGGAUUUCCAAAAGAUUCUCUCAUUUUUGGAGUGUCUCAAAGUUUCCAAGAGUCUCGAAGGGACUCCAGGCAAUGCUUACGCCCUAAACAUUGCAGAAUUAAAAACAUAGUGCAGUGUGGAAAAACCAGCCCUCGGAUGUCCAAGUUCGGAGGAAACUCAAGGUCCCAAAGCAAGGCUCAUAAGAGAGGGGCAGAACUUAAAAAGUCUAAGAAUGAGUGUAAGUGUAUAGAGGAAAGGAAUUAGGGAGAGACAUGGCAGGCUAGUGGUCAUGCCCAGCAAUUUGGAUGCUGGCACACCCCUGACCAGCCUGCUAGUCAGCAUUAAGAGUUAGGAUCCAUUGUGGAUCAAGCCAAGGCCUGGAUAGUAAUUAGGAUAAUAUAAUGCCAAUAGCUUAAGUCAACACAUCGAAGGGAAUAGGGGUAGAGGAUUCAUACACAAACAGAGGCAAGGAAGGAAAAUAAUUAGAACCAAUCACUGCACAUGAGUAGUAAAGUAAACAAAAGGCUGAAACUGUAAAGUAAAGACAUAGGAGUGAGGCAGAGAAUUUAAACAAAAGACAUACCAGUUUCAAAGGAAAAAACAAGUAAGAAAACAGUAGCAUUGAGAGAGUCAAGUUGUAGUUCCAAAAGAUCACAAACAAAGCAAAGUGCUGAAUUCGAAACAAUACUUCAAGAAAAGUAUGUAAUUAGAAGUGUUUUUGUUCUUCUGAAUUUUCAAUGUUUGUAAAGAGGGAAGACAAGUCCUUAUAUACUUUUGAAAACAAGAAGUACAUAGGCAAAGAGUGUACAAACAUGGAAAUAGCAAUCAAUCAGUGUCAAUUAAGACAACUGGAGUCAUUUAAUUAAGGAGUCUAGUCCAAACAGUUUGUCAAGGCAGAAUAAGAAAAAGAAAUCAGUCAAUAUGGCUGAUUAAUGCAAAGAAACCUCAUAGUGCAUAAAUAAGGCCAAAUACAUCAUGGGUAAUUAAAGAAAGUAGUGUAUUUAUAAAGUAAAAUAGUGCAUCACUUCUAAAAUCAACCAAGAGGAUCCAGGGUCCAAUUAUAAUCACAGGGAAUUAAGGUAAUAAAGGAAAGAAUCACAUAGAUAUAGAAAUAAUUCAAAAUUUGGUACAGAAUUACAGAAGGAAUACACAAGAUCGUGUAUUUAAGGAAAAUACCAUAAGCCUAGGAUUUUUACACAAAAGACCAAGUAAACAUCCAGUAGGGUAGAGUAGGUUCAAUCAAAAGAAAUUAGUGAUAAAUCAUCAGCCUGAUUAAAGCGAUUUCAAAAUCAAUCCUUGACUGGUGAAACCUUUUAGAAGGAGGAUAUUUUCAUAUAUAAAGCACAUAGAUUAGACAAAAGAUUCGUUUACUAUAGAAAAAAAGUUUAAACUGAAAGUUCCCAAGUCACAAGCAAACAGGAUUUCGAGUUUCAAAUACAUACUCACAGCAAGUAUGGAAAUCUAGAGUCCAAAGUGAAACCCUUGUGCCUCUUACCGGAGAAAAUCACCAAAUCCUUGAGGUUACAAAUAGAAUCAGAGGAAGAUGUGAGAAACCAGGGUCAUUGAGAGUCAAACGUACACAAACAAAUGCAGAAGAAAUAGGAGCUACGAGCUUUAAAAGAUGAAAGUAGGAUAGAACAUGCUUAGAAAGAACAUCAAUGAAACUCAAUAAGGUGAAAUAAAAUCAAAGAGCACAUAAUUAAACACAUUUAUCAUGUGAACAAAGAACAAAAAAAGGUCUUGCAUAAUCAGCAGAGAAAUAACAUAACAGACUUGAGCACAAUAAGAAAUAAACAUACAAGUAUAAAACACUCAUAAAUAAAGAACAAAGAGUCUGAAAAUAUUUAAAAAAAACAUUUUUCAAAAACCUAAACAAUCGAACUUGAACAAUUUUAAAAGGGAAAUUUGGGUAAAACCUUAGAACGUCAAGCAAAAACCAGGCGGGGUACAGAUAUAAGAAAAUAAGCAAGUUUAGAACCUUUGAAGUCUUAAAAAAAUGGCAGAGAAAAACCUAGAAAUAGAAGGUUGUGAGGAAAGUCGAAUCCUGAGUCGAAGAGACACAUAUUGCUUUGAACACGCCGAAAAUGACUGGAGAGGUCAUAGAUCUUGCAGAUCUGAGACAGAUCUAAAGGAAGCCAUGGAAGCCAGGCCUCCAAUCUUCGAGUAACACAAGUUUAAUGGUGAGGGAUGGUGAGCACAUGCCAUCCAUGGCCAGGAAUGCCAUGGAUUCUGGUGGAAUUGUGGUGGAAAUAUGAGGGAAUCGAUUAGGGUAUCAGAGUGGGCUAGAGAGAGUUUGAGAGAUGAAGAGUGUUUAGAGGCG
rnacentral:lncRNA from 1 species